AUAUCUUCACGUUACCAUUAUUAAAACAUAAAUUUUCACCUAAUAACUAAACUUUUACUAGUGUUUACGAAUUUUUUCAGUGUUUAUCCCGUAAAACUAUAUUCUUAACUUUUAUACGUAACAGUAAGGUUCUUAGUUAUGUUGCAAUAUCAUAAUCCUAACCCUAGUUUUAACUCUCUCUCUUGCCGGUACAUGAACUCGAGUCUCUAGUUGACAAAAAAAAAAAA
rnacentral:lncRNA from 1 species